rnacentral:rRNA from 1 species
CAGUCGCCACGGUAAUACGAAGGGGGCUAGCGUUGCUCGGAAUCACUGGGCGUAAAGGGUGCGUAGGCGGGUCUUUAAGUCAGGGGUGAAAUCCUGGAGCUCAACUCCAGAACUGCCUUUGAUACUGAAGAUCUUGAGUUCGGGGGAGGUGAGUGGAACUGCGAGUGUAGCGGUGAAAUGCGUAGAUAUCGAAAGGAACACCUGUGGCGAAAGCGGCUCACUGGACCAUUUCUGACGCUGAUGCACGAAAGCUAGGGGAGCAAACAGGAUUAGAGACCCCCGUAGUCCCUGUCUCUUAUAC